rnacentral:misc_RNA from 1 species
AAGUCGUAACAAGGUUUCCGUAGGUGAACCUGCGGAAGGAUCAUUAACACGUAUCCACGUAUCAACCUUUGUGAACCGGUUUUCAACCUUCUCCCUGCAGAUGGAAGGAAUUGGAGUAAUAAUGGAUUAUGGAUUGACGGCUUUUAUUAUAUUCGUAUAAUGAUCGGCAUUCUUCAUUAUUCUUCGUGCGAGUUUCGGCUCUCUCGACCAAUUGUAUCCACCUGUGAGGCAUAUCAUAAUCUGCUAAUAUAUUCCUUCUGUCUCUGGGAUAUGUUAGUGGGUCUACCAUAAUAACUUUAUUCACCAACCUUUUUGCUAGUUGACUUUUAUCUGUUGUUCGCCUUUAAAAGCGUAUCAGCACGUUACUUAAUUGAACGUUAAAAUUACAACUCUUAGCAAUGGAUAUCUUGGUUCUC